UUAGCCCCCAAAUAGUUUAUCUUUCAUCAGUGGAAAUAACAAUCUGAUACAAAUCCCACUGAAAACAAAACAACACUUCACACUGAUGGUCACUGGGCUCUGGAUCUGACCCUCUCUGGUAUUGCUGAUAGAUGGCCUGCUGGAAACUGGUCACCAGUACACAAGAUAUUGGUUGCAACUGUUGUGAACUCUGAUCUGAAUAGCUCCAGACUGGAUGCAGCAAUUGGAGGGCCAGCAAUGGUUGUAUAGAACCAUGUGUUCAACCAUCACUCACUCCCGUGGAGUCAGUGUGAGAGCAGCUGGGAAGGAGAAUCAGAAGAAGAGUUCAAAGGCCUCCUGUAGAGAAGACCAAAAGCAUAUUGUGCAUUUUUUUGUGCAAAAGGGGAGGCUCAGGUUGAAUAUUAGGAAUUUCUUAACCGAAUGAGUUAAGUUGGAGCGGUUUGUCCAGGGAAGCAGUGGAGUCACCAUCUCUGGAAGUGUUCAAAAAACAGUUACUGGCGUUGUCUGUUUGGAGCACCAAUAUCUGGAACUGCUGUGACUUACAGAAUCAUACUCAGUGUGUGAUUCAAACCACCGGCACCUGUUACAGGAAACUUAUGCAUGAUGUGAACACAAACGUGCUUCUGCGCUGCCCGAGUUCCACCUGAGUCCCGCUUUUCCUCAUGGAUUGUCUCCCACCUGGAGGUUUACGUAGGAACGAGGGACAUCUAGUGGCUCGACAGAACAUGGCAAAGGAAGAUGUUCUGCCCCAGAGGAGGAGUCCAGCUCCAGUCAUCAUGAGGAUUGGCCUGUAAAACUGCAGUGGAGCUCCUUCUGCCACCUCCUGCCUCCCUGAUUCAUACUCCUUAAGAAACUGCUGCUCUAGGACAAAGGAUCCUUUAAGCACAGUGAGUAUCAGCUGAGAAAGCAAGCAAUUUAUCCAGCUUGUAAAGCUGCAUCAGAGAGCAA